rnacentral:rRNA from 1 species
AUUGAACGCUGGCGGCAUGCCUUACACAUGCAAGUCGAACGGUAACAGGUCUUCGGAUGCUGACGAGUGGCGAACGGGUGAGUAAUACAUCGGAACGUGCCCAGACGUGGGGGAUAACGAGGCGAAAGCUUUGCUAAUACCGCAUACGAUCUAAGGAUGAAAGCAGGGGACCGCAAGGCCUUGCGCGUUUGGAGCGGCCGAUGGCAGAUUAGGUAGUUGGUGGGAUAAAAGCUUACCAAGCCGACGAUCUGUAGCUGGUCUGAGAGGACGAGCAGCCACACUGGGACUGAGACACGGCCCAGACUCCUACGGGAGGCAGCAGUGGGGAAUUUUGGACAAUGGGCGAAAGCCUGAUCCAGCAAUGCCGCGUGCAGGAUGAAGGCCUUCGGGUUGUAAACUGCUUUUGUACGGAACGAAAAGGCUCUGGCUAAUACCUGGGGCACAUGACGGUACCGUAAGAAUAAGCACCGGCUAACUACGUG